AGAGUUUGAUCCUGGCUCAGAACGAACGCUGGCGGCAGGCUUAACACAUGCAAGUCGAGCGCGCUCUUCGGAGUGAGCGGCGGACGGGUUAGUAACGCGUGGGAACGUGCCCUUCUCUAAGGAAUAGCCACUGGAAACGGUGAGUAAUACCUUAUACGCCCUUCGGGGGAAAGAUUUAUCGGAGAAGGAUCGGCCCGCGUUAGAUUAGAUAGUUGGUGGGGUAACGGCCUACCAAGUCUACGAUCUAUAGCUGGUUUUAGAGGAUGAUCAGCAACACUGGGACUGAGACACGGCCCAGACUCCUACGGGAGGCAGCAGUGGGGAAUCUUGGACAAUGGGCGCAAGCCUGAUCCAGCCAUGCCGCGUGAGUGAUGAAGGCCUUAGGGUCGUAAAGCUCUUUCGCCAGAGAUGAUAAUGACAGUAUCUGGUAAAGAAACCCCGGCUAACUCCGUGCCAGCAGCCGCGGUAAUAC
rnacentral:rRNA from 1 species